rnacentral:lncRNA from 1 species
AGGGGUUAGAUCAGGCUGACAGCUGCUUGAAUACCGUCAAAAGCCAACUGAAAGAGGCUGAGAGGGAUUGUCGUGAGAAAGAGAAAUGGUGGAAGCUCGCCACAAAACAAAAGAAGGAGAUAAGAGAGACGCUUGAGGCUGAGAUAGCCAACCUCAGUGUUUCACUCCGUGAAUCAAAAGAAAGGGAAGAACGAGAACGCCGCAGUAAAGAGAGUGCUAUGGCUGCUACUCAGGUUACACCUGAAAUGUGGAAUGGAAAGUGCCAGGAGGCUGAAAAUGCUAAUGAGUGGGAACGAUACUGGAGAGGCCGACAUGAC